UGAUAGUGUGUGCUGCUUUGGAGCUGCACUCUGAGGCAAGUGCAGUGAGCACAAAGGGAUGUGUUAAGAGUUUCUCCCAUCUUUCUUAUUUGCUCUUAAACUAAGCUCUCUCUCUUCAUAGAGACCGCAUACCAUUGUCCUACUGCUGUGACUGGUAAAAGUUCUCAGGUACUCAAUACGAAACCAUGUUAUCAUUUGGUGUUAGUCAUAGAUGAACCUCAAGCACGUGUUUGGCUGAUGUUUAACUUGUGAAUUUAGACUCCCAAGUAGGUAGGUUUGAAUAACUGGCAUUUCUAGACCUAGAGUUCUUGCUUUGUCAUCAUCAAGCUUGUGAUUCUCCACCCUGCCAAACAUAUCGGAGCAGACAAUCUGACUAAUGUUUUGUCCGUUCAGAUUGUAAUCCUUGUGUUGCAAGUUGAACAAAACGGUUAAAGAGAUGUGAAACCUCAAACAUGAUGGUUUGGCGUGGGUUAGUAUUUGAUAAGGUGACUGAGCUUGCUUAUUUGUAUGUGUUUCUAGAUUAUAGGUUUGUAGUAUAUAGAAUUCAGUGUAAACGCCACUUUUCUUUUUUCCUUUUUGACAGUUUUUUUCCGUUGUAUUGUACGCAAUGCUCUCCAUAAAUGUGGACUUCUGUUUGAUCAGUUUCUCUGUUUUACAGCUAGGGCUCUGCUCGUAAGUGUCUGUAUUACUGAGAUGGAGUAUCUUUUCAAAACUAGUAACCUGAGAUUAGAACAGGAUGUGUUUAAGCAAGAGUGAUUAAGUUAAAUUUGUUUAACCGAAAAAAACCCACCAAACCUUAAACCCUGUAGCAUUCUCUUCCUUAAAUCAUAAUUAACAACAUUUCAGGAAUAUGUUAACAGAUAAACUAAUAUUAAACGGUGGAAUUAGUUUAAUAUUCUAAAGUUAGAUUUUGUGCCUUAGCCUAAGGGAGAGACCAUUUUGUGUGAAGCUUGUGUUAACCCUUUUGGAAAAAAGGUAGGUUCUGUAGAUUAAACGUUCACGUGGUUUCCAGAUUAGAGAAGGUGCAGCUCUUCUUCUGGCCCCAUGACAAUUGUUUGCUUUGUGGCUUGCGUAUUUUGUUGCUCUGGGUGUUCUUGUUUCUGUAUGUAUACAUAAAGUGGUGCAUUCUCUGAUUAGUCAUGGCAAUUCUAAAUAAUGCAUCAUUGCUAUUGGCUAGCUGUGUAAAGUAUGAAACUCCUGUGGCUUAAUUACAGUCCCAUUUUAUGAUUCCAGAUUAGGAUGACCAAAGCAGCAUUAAAAACCAACAGUUAACUGGUACUUCUUUUACUGCAGGAAGUUAUUUGUUGGUAUUGUUCGUGCAACAGUUUCAGUAAUUAUCAUAGCAGCUGACUGAGCGGGGAUCAGGGGAAGUUGCUUGGUUUUGUCAAAAUGUUGUGGGUUGUAAUAAGAGGAAGAAUAAUUUGCCAGGGACCUGUAACAAGAGCAGACAGUUAAUGGGACAGUGAUUGAACAGGACUGGUAGUCUCUUGGGAUGGGGGGGAAAUAUAUAUGUGUGUGUGUGUGUUUUUGUAUAUGAAUAUAUUUAUAAUACCCUGGAUUCAUUCAGCUAUUGUGAGUUGGAAAAGAAAGAGUUGUAAAGUUGCACUGAUCAUUUGCUGUAACUUGGCGUUUAAUAAUCACAUUUACGUUUGGAACAUGCCUGUGUGUCAUAACAAUAUUCUUUUUGCAUAGAAUGUAAUAGAGGGCAAAAGAUGUUGCAAAUGUUCCUUUUCUAUGGUCAGAUAGAAGAAAUCAUUUUUAGACUGUGAGACAAUUAACUUGGCUUUCUGAUUUCAGUAAAAAAUCCCAGAAGUGGGAUGAAAUGAACAUCAUAGCUACGUACCAUCCAGCAGGCAAAGAUUAUGGUUUGAUGAAAAUAGAUGAGCCCAGUACUCCUUAUCACAGCAUGGUAGGAGAAGAUGAUGAGGAUGCAGUGAGCGAUUCAGAGUCGAAUGAGCCCUUAAAAGCAGAUGUGUUGACUAAAAAACUAGCAGCUGCAGCUGAAGGUAAGGGACCCAAGAUUCUAGCAAAGCAGGAGGAAAGCAGUGAGGAGGAGGAGGAAGAUGAAGAAUUAACACCUGAAGAACGAGAGAAGAAGAAACAGUUUGAAAUGAAGAGAAAGAUGCACUACAACGAAGGGCGAAAUAUCAAACUGGCAAGACAGCUCAUUGCGAAAGAACUACAUGGUGAAGAUGAGGAGGAUGAGGAUGAAGAGAUGCAUGAUGCUGCAGAUGUAGAAACAAUGAAUACAGAAGCAACUGAACAUGGGGAAAGGAGGGCUCCUUUCUGCACUCUGCUGUAAAACAGGGAGGCAACUACGCUCCCCAGCUGCAUUCUCCAGUGGAAAGAAGGCACACCUUUGCAGCAUUUUUCCAUCUCUAUUGUUGAAGUCCAUUCCACCUUGCUUCAUAACCCAGCUUCUGAGCCACCAAUGACUGAGAUUUCUUGCUGAUUGAAAUGAAGAUGGCCAGUCAAGUCAGUAAUGCACAUGCUACUAGUGACCAGCUGGGAAGUAGAGCACACAGCAUAGAAGAAAUCUGUCCAGAACUGUAACAAGACGAAUAUAAACACUGCUUCAUGAUUUUUGCAAUUAUGGCUCUUAAAUAUCGAGAAGCAUAUCAGUUACAAUGUUGCAUUGCCAAGAAUGUUAAUUUUAGACUUGUCUAUUAGGCAGAAAAAAACUGUCUAACUGAUUUAUUCUUGUGCCUAGUAUUUCACGGAGAAUACUGCUUCAUAAUCUGUUCGACCAGAAUGGCAUUCCCUGUAUGUGUAACGCUGAUUAUCUUGCGUAAUGUACUGUUACUCUUCAUGCUUUGAAACACAGACAGUAUCUUUGGAUUUUUUUUCACUAUUUAUUUGACAGUGUUCUAGGUGUGGUAUCUCCUAUGAAAGGGUUUGGAAUCCAAGAGCCAAACGGUACAGCAUACAUUGGAUUGACAUGCAAGCUAUUUGUCAGAUGUGUUAAGCAGUUUAAAAAGGGAUUAUUUAAGUCUUACAACUUUUUGUGUAGAAUUUUGACCUGUUAAUCUAGAUUUCGGUAUGUUAUUACCUGUAUUUUCCCAGUCUCUAGAAGAAGAGUUGUAUUAUUUUUAAGAGCUAUGUUUGGAAUCAAUUACUAGCUUCUGACUAAGGCAGCACUAACUUCUGGUGGAGGGAUGUUUUUACACUGGAAACGCGCUAACUUGAACUUUGAAUUUUACUAUCAUCUAUCUUUUCCAUUGAGACUGGGUUUUUUUGGAGCUCUCUUGGCUUAUCUUGAAAACAUGAAAGUUCCCUGCAACUUUUCUUUUUAAAACCACAUCAACUGUCACUCUUCUUGCUCUUGUCUCAAACUUUUGGACUUUUCCAGCUGCAUGAAGAGUGCUUGUGCUGCUAGCACCUGAAGUAAAACACCCAUUUAGGAGGAAAUCCACAUCAGGACUGCGGAGAUGGGAUGGAUUUAGGCUCUAUCUGCUCUUUAUAUAUAAAGAUAACUGAUGAUGAUCUCAUACCCUCUUGGGGUUUGUACCCCGUGUACUGAAAACCACUGGUCUAAAUCUUUCUGGAUCCAAUGUAACUUGCAGCAGCCUGCAUUUUGCAAAUGAAGGCUGUUUGGAAGAAUGGAAGGGAGACUGCCUAAUUCAAAUGCUGUUUACAAAGUAGUUGGAUAACCCCUGUAAAGAGGGAUUUUUGAACCUCCAAAUUACUGUAAACAACUUCCCACUCAAUGGAUUUUGACUGGUGAAUGUUAUAGUAUUCAAAAUAGUUCUUGGUUUUUAUUACACAAAUGAAGUAUACACUUAAGCUUUAGCUUGGUUAUAGAAUACAUUGUAUAUCUUAAUUUUGAUCUGAAUUUGAUAUGUUGCAAAAAUCCAUAUAAUUAUAUGGAACUAUUUUAAAAUGUCUUUUUGUCCACUGUAUAUGUGAAGUUUGAAUAAAGGAAUGAAAAUUAUUUUACAGUUA